UGAACCAGGCUGCCGCGGGGCGGCUGUUCCGGCGGCUUCGGCCAAUGGAACAAGCGGCUUUGAGGAAAGUCCGGGCUCCGCAGGACAUGAUGCCGGGUAACGCCCGGGCGGGGAGGGUGAAAACCCUUUCCGACAGAAAGCGCAGCAGAAAAUAUACAGCCCUGGGGGCCGCCCCUUUCGGGUGGUUUCCGGCGGUAAUGGUGAAAUGGCGUAAGGAAAAACUCUCUGGGUUUUUCCGGGGUAAGAGCCCACCGCGGAAUUGGCGACAAUUCCGGCAUGGCAAACCUCAUCAGGAGCAAAGUCAAGCAGCGUGGAGAGGCUUCGCCUUUCCGGGGAACGGGGCGUUGUCCCGUUCCCGCCGGCGGUCCGCCGGUUAGAACGCGGGUAGACUGCAUGGAUGUUUUCCGCAAGGAAAAACACAAGAUAGAUGGCAGUUUGACAAUUUUGUCAUGGAAUUUCCGCCCUCGGGUGAAAAUUCCCGCAGAUUAUUUACCUUGCGGUAAAUAAUCUGACAGAACCCGGCUUAUGGUUCAUCGU
rnacentral:RNase_P_RNA from 1 species